CUANACAUGCAAGUCGAGCGGACAGAAGGGAGCUUGCUCCCGGAUGUUAGCGGCGGACGGGUGAGUAACACGUGGGUAACCUGCCUGUAAGACUGGGAUAACUCCGGGAAACCGGAGCUAAUACCGGAUAGUUCCUUGAACCGCAUGGUUCAAGGAUGAAAGACGGUUUCGGCUGUCACUUACAGAUGGACCCGCGGCGCAUUAGCUAGUUGGUGAGGUAACGGCUCACCAAGGCGACGAUGCGUAGCCGACCUGAGAGGGUGAUCGGCCACACUGGGACUGAGACACGGCCCAGACUCCUACGGGAGGCAGCAGUAGGGAAUCUUCCGCAAUGGACGAAAGUCUGACGGAGCAACGCCGCGUGAGUGAUGAAGGUUUUCGGAUCGUAAAGCUCUGUUGUUAGGGAAGAACAAGUGCAAGAGUAACUGCUUGCACCUUGACGGUACCUAACCAGAAAGCCACGGCUAACUACGUGCCAGCAGCCGCGGUAAUACGUAGGUGGCAAGCGUUGUCCGGAAUUAUUGGGCGUAAAGGGCUCGCAGGCGGUUUCUUAAGUCUGAUGUGAAAGCCCCCGGCUCAACCGGGGAGGGUCAUUGGAAACUGGGAAACUUGAGUGCAGAAGAGGAGAGUGGAAUUCCACGUGUCG
rnacentral:rRNA from 1 species